rnacentral:rRNA from 1 species
UACAGAGGGGGCAAGCGUUAUUCGGAAUUAUUGGGCGUAAAGGGCGCGUAGGCGGCUUGGCAAGUGGAUGGUGAAAUCCCUCGGCUUAACCGAGGAACUGCCGUCCAAAACUGCUUCGCUUGAGACCGGGAGAGGUGAGUGGAAUUCCCAGUGUAGCGGUGAAAUGCGUAGAUAUUGGGAGGAACACCAGUGGCGAAGGCGGCUCACUGGACCGGUACUGACGCUGAUGCGCGAAAGCGUGGGGAGCAAACGGGG